rnacentral:rRNA from 1 species
CGGGGCUUAAAGUCUUGUAAUUGGAAUGAUGGGAAUUUAAACCUCUUCCAGAGUAUCAAUUGGAGGGCAAGUCUGGUGCCAGCAGCCGCGGUAAUUCCAGCUCCAAUAGCGUAUAUUAAAAUUGUUGCAGUUAAAAAGCUCGUAGUUGAAUUUCUGCUGCAUUGCUUGUGUCCCUCUUGGGUCUGUGCAUGUGGCUUUUUUCGGACGGAGUUUCUUUGUCUGAAUGUUUACUUUGAGAAAAUUAGAGUGCUCAAAGCAGGCUUUCGCCUUGAAUAGUUUAGCAUGGAAUAAUAAAGUAGGACUUUGGUUCUAUUUUGUUGGUUUUAGGUACCAAAGUAAUGGUUAAUAGGAACAGUUGGGGGCAUUCGUAUUUAACUGUCAGAGGUGAAAUUCUUAGAUUUGUUAAAGACGAACUACUGCGAAAGCAUUUGCCAAGGAUGUUUUCAUUAAUCAAGAAC